AUUCCUUUACAGUCUGAUCCAAACUAAUUCCAUGAUACACCAAAAAUUUGAAAUUGCGGUGCUCAAAGGAACGAAUGAUUCGAACUGUAAUGGUCACUCCUUCAGCAGCCAUGUGAAGCAAUUCCUAGCAGCCCAGAAAUUUCCUUCAUAGGCAGGGCCUAGGGAAUCACUGAAGUGGGUGUGAAGAGAGAGCUAGAAAGGAAUAACACAGCAUAGCUUGUUAACUACCAAAUGUGCUAACAACUAUCCACGGACAUGAGAAUACAUAAGCAAACAAUGGCAUACACAGGCCACAAAAUACCCAAGCAGUAGCAGUGAACACAUUAGCAUGGACUGAUUUUAGAAAUGCUAUAUUAAGUGAGUAAAAGCAAGUUAUAUAACAAUCAGAGCAAGGAGAAAUUUAAGAAAAUACUUCAAGAUAUUAAAGAUGGUUUGACUAGACUACAUUCUCAAUCAUGUGGGUUCAAAAUUGUAAAACCUAAAAUUACGGUGGCACACACUUAUAUUUCCAGAUGUCAGGAGA